UACGAAGGGUGCAAGCGUUAAUCGGAAUUACUGGGCGUAAAGCGCGCGUAGGUGGUUCAGUAAGUUGGGAGUGAAAUCCCCGGGCUCAAACCUGGGAACUGCUUUCAAAACUGCUGAGCUAGAGUACGGUAGAGGGUGGUGGAAUUUCCUGUGUAGCGGUGAAAUGCGUAGAUAUAGGAAGGAACACCAGUGGCGAAGGCGACCACCUGGACUGAUACUGACACUGAGGUGCGAAAGCGUGGGGGAGCAAAAC
rnacentral:rRNA from 1 species